rnacentral:rRNA from 1 species
AUGGCUCAGAUUGAACGCUGGCGGCAGGCCUAACACAUGCAAGUCGAACGGUAACAGGAAACAGCUUGCUGUUUCGCUGACGAGUGGCGGACGGGUGAGUAAUGUCUGGGAAACUGCCUGAUGGAGGGGGAUAACUACUGGAAACGGUAGCUAAUACCGCAUAACGUCGCAAGACCAAAGAGGGGGACCUUCGGGCCUCUUGCCAUCGGAUGUGCCCAGAUGGGAUUAGCUAGUAGGUGGGGUAACGGCUCACCUAGGCGACGAUCCCUAGCUGGUCUGAGAGGAUGACCAGCCACACUGGAACUGAGACACGGUCCAGACUCCUACGGGAGGCAGCAGUGGGGAAUAUUGCACAAUGGGCGCAAGCCUGAUGCAGCCAUGCCGCGUGUAUGAAGAAGGCCUUCGGGUUGUAAAGUACUUUCAGCGGGGAGGAAGGGAGUAAAGUUAAUACCUUUGCUCAUUGACGUUACCCGCAGAAGAAGCACCGGCUAACUCCGUGCCAGCAGCCGCGGUAAUACGGAGGGUGCAAGCGUUAAUCGGAAUUACUGGGCGUAAAGCGCACGCAGGCGGUUUGUUAAGUCAGAUGUGAAAUCCCCGGGCUCAACCUGGGAACUGCAUCUGAUACUGGCAAGCUUGAGUCUCGUAGAGGGGGGUAGAAUUCCAGGUGUAGCGGUGAAAUGCGUAGAGAUCUGGAGGAAUACCGGUGGCGAAGGCGGCCCCCUGGACGAAGACUGACGCUCAGGUGCGAAAGCGUGGGGAGCAAACAGGAUUAGAUACCCUGGUAGUCCACGCCGUAAGCGAUGUCGACUUGGAGGUUGUGCCCUUGAGGCGUGGCUUCCGGAGCUAACGCGUUAAGUCGACCGCCUGGGGAGUACGGCCGCAAGAGUUAAAACUCAAAUGAAUUGACGGGGGCCCGCACAAGCGGUGGAGCAUGUGGUUUAAUUCGAUGCAACGCGAAGAACCUUACCUGGUCUUGACAUCCACGGAAGUUUUCAGAGAUGAGAAUGUGCCUUCGGGAACCGUGAGACAGGUGCUGCAUGGCUGUCGUCAGCUCGUGUUGUGAAAUGUUGGGUUAAGUCCCGCAACGAGCGCAACCCUUAUCCUUUGUUGCCAGCGGUCCGGCCGGGAACUCAAAGGAGACUGCCAGUGAUAAACUGGAGGAAGGUGGGGAUGACGUCAAGUCAUCAUGGCCCUUACGACCAGGGCUACACACGUGCUACAAUGGCGCAUACAAAGAGAAGCGACCUCGCGAGAGCAAGCGGACCUCAUAAAGUGCGUCGUAGUCCGGAUUGGAGUCUGCAACUCGACUCCAUGAAGUCGGAAUCGCUAGUAAUCGUGGAUCGGAAUGCCACGGUGAAUACGUUCCCGGGCCUUGUACACACCGCCCGUCACACCAUGGGAGUGGGUUGCAAAAGAAGUAGGUAGCUUAACCUUCGGGAGGGCGCUUACCACUUUGUGAUUCAUGACUGGGGUGAAGUCGUAACAAGGUAACC